rnacentral:rRNA from 1 species
GUCUGGUURAUUCCGGUAACGAACGAGACUGUGGCCUACUAAAUAGUCGACGUGGGUUUUGGUGCAUGGGCCCCGUUCGAAACUGUCUUCUUAGAGGGAUGAGCAGCGAGUCUAGCUGCCGGAGAUUGAGCAAUAACAGGUCUGUGAUGCCCUUAGAUGUCCUGGGCCGCACGCGCGCUACACUGAAUGGGUUAGCGGGUGUUCCUUCUCCGAGAGGAGCGGGAAAUCGCUUGAAAACCAUUCGUGAUAGGGAUUGGGGCUUGCAAUUGUUUCCCAUGAACGAGGAAUUCCCAGUAAGCGCAAGUCAUCAGCUUGCGUUGAUUAAGUCCCUGCCCUUUGUACACACCGCCCGUCGCUACUACCGAUUGAAUGAUUUAGUGAGGGCUUCGGACUGGCGGUCUUGGACUGGGAGGCUGUGGCCCGUCAGGGCGCUCCUGCCGCUAUUACGUGCCGGAAAGAUGUCCAAACUUGAUCAUUUAGAGGGAAGUAAAAGUCGUAACAAGGUUUCCGUAGGU